AGAACGAACGCUGGCGGCAUGCCUAACACAUGCAAGUCGAACGCUCUUGGGGCUUCGGUUCCAAGGGAGUGGCGCACGGGUGAGUAGCGCGUGGGAACCUGCCCUGGAGUGGGGGAUAACCGAGGGAAACUUCGGCUAAUACCGCAUGCGCCCGGGAAACCGGGGAAAGAUUUAUCGCUCUAGGAGGGGCCCGCGUCGGAUUAGCUAGUUGGUGGGGUAACGGCCUACCAAGGCUUUGAUCCGUAGCUGGUCUGAGAGGAUGAUCAGCCACACUGGGACUGAGACACGGCCCAGACUCCUACGGGAGGCAGCAGUGGGGAAUAUUGGACAAUGGGCGCAAGCCUGAUCCAGCAAUGCCGCGUGAGUGAUGAAGGCCUUCGGGUUGUAAAGCUCUUUCGCACGCGAGGAUGAUGACGCUAACGUGAGAAGAAGCCCGGCUAACUUCGCGCCAGCAGCCGC
rnacentral:rRNA from 1 species